AUGAGCGGUCUCGGGGCUGUAAUUGCCGGUGCCGUGGCGAAGCAGAUCGUCGGCAAGCUGGGCGACUACGCUGCGUCGGAGGUCACUCUGCAGUGGAGAUACAGAGAGGACAUGUUGGAGUUGGGGGAGAAGAUGAAAGAUCUGGAGGCUGUGUUGGUUGAUGCUGACGACAAGUCGCAUCGAGGAGGAGAAGCUGGAAGAGUAUUUCAGCGCUGGCUUACAAAAUUUAAGCGCGUUGCCUACAACGUCGAGGAUGUCCUUGAUGAGUUGGAAGCUAACGAGCUCAUCAAAAAGAGCCAAUCCAAGGUUAACUUGUGGUUCUCUAGAAACAAUCAACUCGUGCAGCGAAUAACCAUGCCCCACAAGAUGAAGAACGCGAUGAAGAAAAUUGGCAAAAUUAAAAAGGAGGGCAGCACAGAGCUCAAUCUCGUGCCUCUAGAAUCAAGGGCAGAAGGAAGCAGAAACAAUGAAACACUUGCAGCCAACUGGAAUACUGACGGUGUGAAAACUGGAAUAGUGGGGAGGGAAACCGAGAAGGACAAGAUAAUAAGCCUGCUACUUACAAGUGAAGAAGCCAACCAGGAUAUCUCCAUCAUCCCUAUUGUUGGCCUUGGUGGCAUAGGCAAGACAACAUUGGCUGAAUCGGUUCUUGCAGACACGAGGGUCAGUGUCUUUGACGUCUCAAUCUGGGUUAAUGUAUCCAAGCAGUUUGAUUUGCACAAAAUUGGGGGUGCAAUCCUGAAAAGAAUGAUGAAUGGCACUAUCAACCCUGACAACUGCGAUUUGCAACAAGUUCUGAAAAAAGAACUUGCUACUAGAAGAUACUUGAUUGUUCUGGAUGAUCUCUGGGAAGAAGAUGGAGAUAAACUUGAAAGUUUGAAGCGGAUGUUACAGCAUGGCCUCAAGGGUAGCAGGAUUAUAGUAACUACCCGAAACCGAAGUGUAGUGCAACAAUUACGCACUGGUUUUCUUUCAAAUCAGAGGAAAAUUUGCCCAGUUCCUGAGUCUGAGACAAUAGAGCUGGGUGUUUUAGAACCUGUUGAGUGUUGGGAAUUAAUGAAGCAAAGGGCAUUUGGGCCUGAUGAUGACCACAAUGGCUUGGAAGAAAUCGGAAAGCAGAUUGCAGGCAAGUGUGGGGGUUUACCGCUCGUGGCAAAUGCUCUUGGGCAUGUAAUGUCAGAGCUAAGGACCGUGGAGGCAUGGGAACAUAUAAGAGACACCAAGGUUGAUUUGGGUUUGAGAGAUCAAAAAGAAACAUUAGAGAGGCUAAUGCCGAGCUAUUACCAUAUGAAGCCAGAAUUCAAACUGUGUUUCACGUACUUGGCAACCUUCCCCAAGGGCUUGGUCAUGGACAACAAUCAUAUAAUCCAGCAAUGGAAUGCACUUGGAUACAUCAAUUCAAGGCACGAAGGUCAAAGGUGCAUCAACCACCUUUUGGGCAUGUCAUUUCUUCGGAUUCCAGGAUCUGCUUCGGUUAGUACAUAUAGACACCGUUUCUCUUGCAUGGCUUUUCAUUUCUACCAUUAUUUUUUCUUUUUUACUUUAUUGAUAGACUAG
rnacentral:rRNA from 1 species